AUGUGAAUUUCAAAAAGUGUCAGAAGUUUGUGUCGGUUUAAAGCGACGCUAGUUUCAUUAAAGCGACGCGAGUUUCAUUAAAGCGACGCUAUGUGAAUUUCAAAAAAAGUGUCAGACGUUUGCGUCGGUUUUAACGGACGCAAACUAAGUACCCAUAUUUAAACCCCUCUCUUUCCCAUUUCAACCGUGCUUUCAUUUCUCCCCCAAUUUCAGACUUUCUUCUUCUCCUUCCCCAUUUCAUCUGUGCGUCCCCUUCUUCCUCCUUUUCAUUUUUUCCUCAACUCCUUCCCCGUUUGCUUUGGAUCACCAGUUUGAAGAUCAACAUUCUGAAGAACUCCAAUUCGAGGAGGAAGAGCUUGAAGAGCAAGGACACUGGAAAUCGCAGAUCCAUAAUUUU